rnacentral:lncRNA from 1 species
AGACCCCGCCAGCGCCAGAGACACCGAGGACGUGAGGCCAUGAUGGACUCCGCGCGGAGUCUGGCCUAGACUGCAAGGCCGGCCGUGCAGUCCUGAGGCGAACCGUGGGGUGGGCGCGGCAGGAGUCUGAGUGAUCCGUAGUGGGCACUGGACGCGCCUGUACGUGAGGCGGGUCUGGUCCCGGUCUCCGAGCUGGCUGGACAGUGCGGAAGCGGGAUGGAGCCUGGCUUCAGAACUGCGCGGGUGUGAGGGAGCCUAGGAGUCCCUUGCCUACUACUCUGAGCUGUUCGCUGAGGAACGCCCUGAGAUGGGGCCUACUGUAUUUCCCUGGCUUUACCUGCAACUUUGGUCACAAAUGACCACCUGCCUCAUCCUCUCUAGUAGCAGGGACAACAGUGCUCAUAGUAGAAGCCUUUAGAGCUGGGGUGUGGCCUCACAUGCACCAGACCUUGGAUUGGAUCCCAGUUGUGUUUUGAUAUCACAUCCCCAUUCUCCGUCAUCACUUUGCUAACUGAGCCAUCGCCUCAGAUCUGGAAAGAGUUCUUUGCCUGUUGGUGUUCUGCUUAUGUGACUCAGUGUGAAGCCACUGUUGAGCAGGGUCUGCAGAUCAUCAGUGGACUAACAGCACAUCUACUUGAUGAUGCUCUCAGACUUUCCAGCACAGGGUGGCAACUACCCAUCAGAGACUCAGGACCUGCAGUCCAGAUAACCAUUUGGUUACAGCUCCAUAUGAGUUCAAUUAAAAAACUGCUCUCAUUUUGAAU